rnacentral:rRNA from 1 species
UACGAAGGGGGCUAGCGUUGCUCGGAAUCAUUGGGCGUAAAGCGCGUGUAGGCGGCCCGGUAAGUCCGCUGUGAAAGUCGGGGGCUCAACCCGUCGAAUGCCGGUGGAUACUGUCGGGACUCGAGUGCGGGAGAGGCGAGUGGAAUUCCUGGUGUAGCGGUGAAAUGGCGCAGAGUAUCAAGGAGGAACACCGAUGGGCGAAGGCAGGUCUCUGGGCCGAUACUGACGUGAGGAGCGAAAGCGUGGGAGCGAA